rnacentral:rRNA from 1 species
UACGGGGGGGGCAAGCGUUGUUCGGAAUUACUGGGCGUAAAGGGCUCGUAGGCGGCCAACUAAGUCAGACGUGAAAUCCCUCGGCUUAACCGGGGAACUGCGUCUGAUACUGGAUGGCUUGAGGUUGGGAGAGGGAUGCGGAAUUCCAGGUGUAGCGGUGAAAUGCGUAGAUAUCUGGAGGAACACCCGUGGCGAAAGCGGCUCUCUGGGACGGUACUGACGCUGAGACGCGAAAGCGUGGGGAGCAAACAGG